GUUGGAACUGGGUCUUUUGGGGACCAAAUUUUGGGUCAGAACUGGGACUUCUGGGGACAGUUUUUUUGGGUCAGAACCAGGACUUUCGGGGAUGGUGUUUCGGGGCAGAAUCGGGACCACAUUUUGGGUUGGAACUGGGUCUUUUGGGCCCCGUUUUAGGUCAGAACUGGGUCUUUUGGGGACAGCGUUCUGGGGCAGAAUUGGGAUCACUUUUUGGGUUGGAACCAGGACUUUUCGGAAUGAUGUUUUGGGUCGGAAUUGGGACCAGAUUUUGGGUCAGAACCGGGUCUUUUGGGGAUGGCAUUUCGGGGUGGAAUCGGGACCACAUUUUGGGGCAGAAUCAGGACCACUUUUUGGGGUUGGAACCGGGUCUUUUGGGGACGUUAUUUUGGGGCAGAACCGGGACCUUUGGGGACGGUGUUUGGGGGUGGAAUCGGGACCACAUUUCGGGUGGGAACCGGGUCUUUCGGGGGAUGGCAUUUUGGGGCAGAACUGGGACCAAAUUUUGGGUCAGAACCGGGUCUUUUGGGGACAGUGUUUUGGGGCAGAACUGGGACCACAUUGGGAUGGCAUUUUGGGGCAGAAUCGGGACCAGAUUUUGGGUUGGAACUGGGACUUUUGGGGACGGCAUUUUGGGGCAGAACUGGGACCACAUUUCGGGGCGGAAUUGGGACCAGAUUUUGGGUCGGAAUCAGGCCUGUGUUUUGGGUCAGAACCGGGUCUUUUGGGGACAGUAUUUCGAGUCAGAAUUGGGACCAGAUUUUGGGUCGGAACUGGGUCUUUUGGGGACAUUAUUUUGGGUCAGAACUGGGUCUUUUGGGAAUCAUGUUUCAGGGCAGAAUCGGGGCCACAUUUUGGGUUGGAACUGGGUCUUUUGGGGACAUUAUUUUGGGUCAGAACCGGGUCUUUCGGGAAUGAUGUUUCGAGUGGGACCUGGGCCUGCGUUUUGGGUGAAAACCCGUCCGUUUCGGUGUCAGGGUGGACGUGGCGGGCGCUGUCAGGGCUUUUGGG
rnacentral:lncRNA from 1 species